GUGGGGAAUCUUGCGCAAUGGGCGAAAGCCUGACGCAGCCAUGCCGCGUGAAUGAUGAAGGUCUUAGGAUUGUAAAAUUCUUUCACCGGGGACGAUAAUGACGGUACCCGGAGAAGAAGCCCCGGCUAACUUCGUGCCAGCAGCCGCGGUAAUACGAAGGGGGCUAGCGUUGCUCGGAAUUACUGGGCGUAAAGGGCGCGUAGGCGGACAGGUUAGUCAGAGGUGAAAGCCCAGGGCUCAACCUUGGAAUUGCCUUUGAUACUGGCUGUCUUGAGUACGGGAGAGGUGAGUGGAACUCCGAGUGUAGAGGUGAAAUUCGUAGAUAUUCGGAAGAACACCAGUGGCGAAGGCGACUCACUGGCCCGUUACUGACGCUGAGGCGCGAAAGCGUGGGGAGCAAACAGGAUUAGAAACCCGAGUAGUCC
rnacentral:rRNA from 1 species